rnacentral:rRNA from 1 species
CCCGCCUGUUUACCAAAAACAUCGCCUCUUGUCACCCAUAAGAGGUCCAGCCUGCCCAGUGAUACAAUUAAACGGCCGCGGUACUCUGACCGUGCGAAGGUAGCAUAAUCACUUGUUCUUUAAUUAAGGACUAGCAUGAACGGCAUCACGAGGGCCUUACUGUCUCCUUUCUCCAAUCAGUGAAACUGAUCUCCCCGUGAAGAAGCGGGGAUUAUACUAUAAGACGAGAAGACCCCAUGGAGCUUUAAACCCAACAGACAACCCUUAGCCCCUCACCCCCCAAAACUUUUAGGCCCUGUUUGCUGGUUUUAGGUUGGGGUGACCGCGGAGUAAAACUUAUCCUCCACAAUGUAUGGGACUCCUCCCCUUAUCCACGAGCCACUGCUCUAAGAAUCAACAAAUUGACAACAAAUGAUCCAAUUUUCUGAUCAAUGAACCAAGUUACCCUGGGGAUAACAGCGCAAUCCAUUUUAAGAGCCCUUAUCGACAAAUGGGUUUACGACCUCGAUGUUGGAUCAGGGUACCCAAGUGGUGCAGCCGCUACUAACGGUUUGUUUGUUCAACAAUUAAAACCCUACGUGAUCUGAGUUCAGACCA